AGAGUUUGAUCCUGGCUCAGGACGAACGCUGGCGGCGUGCUUAACACAUGCAAGUCGAACGGUAAGGCCCCUUCGGGGGUACACGAGUGGCGAACGGGUGAGUAACACGUGGGUAAUCUGCCCUGCACUUCGGGAUAAGCCUGGGAAACUGGGUCUAAUACCGGAUAUGAGCUCUCACCGCAUGGUGGGGGUUGGAAAGUUUUUCGGUGCAGGAUGAGCCCGCGGCCUAUCAGCUUGUUGGUGGGGUAAUGGCCUACCAAGGCGACGACGGGUAGCCGGCCUGAGAGGGUGAUCGGCCACACUGGGACUGAGACACGGCCCAGACUCCUACGGGAGGCAGCAGUGGGGAAUAUUGCACAAUGGGCGGAAGCCUGAUGCAGCGACGCCGCGUGGGGGAUGACGGUCUUCGGAUUGUAAACCCCUUUCAGUAGGGACGAAGCGCAAGUGACGGUACCUGCAGAAGAAGCACCGGCCAACUACGUGCCAGCAGCCGCGGUAAUACGUAGGGUGCGAGCGUUGUCCGGAAUUACUGGGCGUAAAGAGCUCGUAGGCGGUUUGUCACGUCGUCUGUGAAAUCCUCCAGCUUAACUGGGGGCGUGCAGGCGAUACGGGCAGACUUGAGUACUACAGGGGAGACUGGAAUUCCUGGUGUAGCGGUGAAAUGCGCAGAUAUCAGGAGGAACACCGGUGGCGAAGGCGGGUCUCUGGGUAGUAACUGACGCUGAGGAGCGAAAGCAUGGGUAGCGAACAGGAUUAGAUACCCUGGUAGUCCAUGCCGUAAACGGUGGGCGCUAGGUGUGGGGUCCUUCCACGGACUCCGUGCCGUAGCUAACGCAUUAAGCGCCCCGCCUGG
rnacentral:rRNA from 1 species